rnacentral:lncRNA from 1 species
GUUAAGCUGAACUAAACAGUGAUUUAGCCUGAUGUGCACAAGACUAAUGCAACCUACCCACUCAAUUACUUUUUAGGCCUUUCCUGUUAACUUCCAGGGUCCACUAAAGAGUAAGACUCUCCUUCAACAGGUGAUUGCCCUGCAGCCCAGCUUGCUGUUGCUACCUAUGGUCUCCCCAACCCCUCUGACCAAUCCCAGCCAGGGUUCAAACCAAAAUUCACUUGUUAUUCAAACAAAAUUUACUUGUUACCAAACAGGAGAGCCCUAGAGGAAACCAGAAGUCAGGUCAGUAAAGCAACACAAAAAGAAAAAUUGGGAACAUUUGGGAGUUGGUUAGGUCACUUGAGUCAUUUCAAAAGGAAGAAAGCAGUUCCCACUUUCCGAAUAACUACAUUAAGGAAGUAAUCAAAUAUGUGAAGAAAGAUAGGUGCAAAAAGAUGUUUAUUAUAGAUUUUACUGUAGGUUUAUGACACAAAAAUGUAAGGAAAACCUUAAAUGAAUUACAGAAU